ensembl:lncRNA
AAAGGAUCUCUACAAUGAGUUGAAUUAAGCUCAGAUUUGCUAAGCUUUGUCAUAUCAAUAUGAACUAAAACAAAUGCCAUUAAUUUCUUCCAAAAUUUAAACAUUUGAGUUUGUUAUCCAGAUUAAGUAUCAUAAUGUUACUUUCUGUCAACAACUGACUCAUUUAUAUGAUUUCUUCUAGAUGAUUUUAAUGGAAAUAUGUGAGAUAAAGUUUAUAUUUAAAUGACACACAGCAGAGAGCUUCCUUUAAAUUUCAAUUACAUUUGUAAUUAUUUACAGCAUAUAUUUUAAAUAUGGUGUGUACCAACAUGUUUCAAUAAAAAUAAAUGAUCUCACAUUAAAUUUCUGUUAAAUUCUGUUUUUACUGUUUCUUACAAGGUUUCAGUGCUGUUUUAAUAUUUUAUGUCGGUACACUCCUAUAAGUCGGCCUUGGCGUAGAGCACUGGUAAUGUUUGGCACAGUAGGUCAGAGCAGGUGGUUUGUGCUCUGUGUGUGAGUGAUCCGCUCUCUCUCCUGCAGAACACUAGAUCAGACCUGCCAGGGGGACCUGCAGCUACGCCAAGCCCAGCAAGGCUUCACUUAGCUGGGUAACAUCUGCUGAGGCCUCCCCUGCCUCCUGGACUUCACCAUGAGCUGAUCCGUGCUGGUUGCUGAGGAAAAACAUCAACUUUGCGCUGUGGAUGGCCGGAUCGCCUUUCACCGUGGAUGAAGCGGAGUCCAGCCCGGGGUCGUCUAGGCAUGGGCCGGUAUGAGAUUUUGACGGCGAUGCUGAUCCCCCAGAAUCCAUCUCAGCAGAGUCUCGUCUGCGGGACAGUGAGGAUCAGUUUGGCUGGACUCCUCUGAUGUAUUGUGUGCUGGCCGGCCGACUGUGCAGAGGUGCUGCUUAAGGCUGGCGCAGCCGUCAAAAAGACUGACCACAGUCAGAGGACCGCACUGCACCUGGCAGCACAGAAGGUGAAGUGCAGACACACACACACACACACACACACAGCCUUCCGAGUUGAUCAUGAUUCUGAUAGAUACUUACAAAGUCUUGGUGUUGUUAGGGUUUACUGCCCUCUAGUGUUUGUGAUGUUGACACAUUUCUGCCAAUAAUCUGAACAUGAGAGCACUUGUAUGUGUUAUGCUGUUUUGACUUAAUAAACAGGACAGUUUGAAUGAGACUAGAGAAGAG